rnacentral:rRNA from 1 species
UCUCUUUCGGCGGCGGCUGCUGGCUUCAUUGCUGGCGGCUGCUGUUGGGAGAGCUCUAUCAUGGCGAGCGUUUGGGCUUCGGUCUGAACUAGUAGCUUUUUUAAACCCAUUCUUUAUAACUGAUUAUACUGUAGGGACGAAAGUCUCUGCUUUUAACUAGAUAGCAACUUUCAGCAGUGGAUGUCUAGGCUCGCACAUCGAUGAAGAACGCUGCGAACUGCGAUACGUAAUGCGAAUUGCAGGAUUCAGUGAGUCAUCGAAAUUUUGAACGCAUAUUGCACUUCCGGGUUAGUCCUGGGAGUAUGCCUGUAUCAGUGUCCGUACAUCAAACUUGGUUUUCUUCCUUCCGUGUAGUCGGUGGUGGAUGUGCCAGAUGUGAAGUGUCUUGCGGCUGGUCUUCGGAUCGGCUGUGAGUCCUUUGAAAUGUACUGAACUGUACUUCUCUUUGCUCCAAAAGCGUGGCGUUGCUGAUUGUGGAGGCUGCUUGCGUAGCCAGUCUGGCGACCAGUUUGUCUGCUGUGGCGUUAAUGGAGGAGUGUUCGAUUCGCGGUAUGGUUGGCUUCGGCUGAACAGACGCUUAUUGAAUAUUUCUUCAGCUGUGGUGGUAU